rnacentral:lncRNA from 1 species
CACUUCAUUAUGGUACACAACAUUUUAAAGACCACUGCAGGAUCAUAUAUGUUAUGAAGAACGUAUGCCUUGUGAGCCUUACGAAGUAUGCCUUAUGAAGUCAGUAGUUUGUUAUUUUUCUGGACGUCACACAUUUAUUAAGAUGACAGAUGAAAGAGUGGAUGUUCACAGUGUUCUCUCCCAAACCGCUGUUCUGCUACAUGCUAUUCUUUUUCUACCUGUCGUUGCCAUUCCCCUGCCGCUCAGACACAUUUCCUCUUUGAGUUGAUUUGUUUUCCCCAGUCUCCUGUUAUCCCUGUAAGCAUUACAAUUUUUUUGUUUGCUUGCUGGGAAAAUGAGACCAUAUUUGAUUUCUUUGAGUUGUGAGGUGAUUUGACAUGAUGGCUGAAGCCAGAGUAAGUGUGUGCAUUCACUGUAGGGAUAGUGGCAGACAUUUCACUACAUAGCACAGAGCAACACUGUCACAAAGCUAAUUCAGUGUUUGCUAGGAAAAGAAGAAUCAAUUAAACUGAGGAACAAACUGUUUUUUUAAUCACUUAAAUCUUUCUUCAAUGAGACUGUGGAAAUGAGGGAGCCUUGGGUUCUGGUUUUUUGGACAAAACAUUAUACUGAUGCAUCAGAUGGUUGCAGCAAAGUUGUCUAAGGUACAUUUGCAGUGGAAAUACAGUAUUGCUUAAACACAGACACUCCAUCUGUAAUUGACUAGCUGCAAAACGAGUUUUAGGAGAAACUGGGAAUUGUUAAAUAUUGCUGCUUCUGUCACUUGGUGACGCAUGCUUAAAAAACAUACGUCAUGGUAGUGUGAAACCACUCUUCAGGAUAAAUGAUGUGACAGAGGAUAUUAAAUUACUGAGUUAGGAGAUAAGACAAUCUGCUUCUAGUUUACUUUGUGAAGUUGAGCAAUUUGCUGAGUCUGGAUCUUGCCUAGAAAAAUGUUGGAUGGUUUCAGAACAGUGGCUGUUGCUGACAGGUGCUGAGCCUUCUGCCUUCUUACUACUUAAACACUGCAAAACAUUUGAGUACAUGUACGCCGUAGUUUAGCAUUUAUAGAACUGUACAUGUUUGUUGGUCAUGAUCUGUAGUUUAUUCCAUGGCAAAAAAGCUUGGUAAGUUUUAUAACUGCCUGUACAGUAUUUGCAACAGCGCGUAUCACAUCCUGAAGUGAACUUGAACCCUGGAAAGCAUUGGUUUUAAUGAUAAUCACUUCUUACUUGCUGUAUUCCACCUAAUAAAGUGGGCUGAUUGCCCAUGUCUUUAAA